rnacentral:rRNA from 1 species
AUUGAACGCUGGCGGCAGGCCUAACACAUGCAAGUCGAGCGAGUGGCGGACGGGUGAGUAAUGUAUGGGGAUCUGCCUGAUGGAGGGGGAUAACUACUGGAAACGGUAGCUAAUACCGCAUACCAUCAGAUGAACCCAUAUGGGAUUAGCUUGUAGGUUGGGUAAAGGCUCACCUAGGCGACGAUCCCUAGCUUGGCUGAGAGGAUGAUCAGCCACACGGGAACUGAGACACGGCCCAGACUCCUACGGGAGGCAGCAGUGGGGAAUAGUUCACAAUGGGCGAAAGCCUGAUGCAGCCAUGCCGCGUGUAUGAAGAAGGCCUUCGGGUUGUAAAGUACUUUCAGUCGGGAGGCGUUACCGACAGAAGAAGCACCGGCUAACUCCGUGCCAGCAGCCGCGGUAAUUC